UCAAACCAUUAUCUUGGCAAUUUCCACGUACGCGAGGGCGGCCAAAAAAACAAAACAAAAAAAAAACCGAUAGUAUCGAUGGUUAGGAGCCAGCUUCUACAAUCGAUGGCCAACAUCCAAUUUUCAUGUGUUCUCGUAGCACAGCGAUGUAGCGUACACACCUAGACGGUGUAAGAUACAAUUAUUGGUGGUAUGUAAGGUUAUAGGUGUAAGCGACAUAUCAUGAAUAACAAAUAUUAUGUUAGUAGUAUGUAAGAUGGUAGUUGUAAGCGACGUAUUAUGAAUAAUAAAUAUUACGUUUAGACCGAAUAUUAAGUCAUAGCUAAGUUCCAAGCCCGAGCGGCAACGCUAGCCGAUAUUUAGCAAAUUAAUAGAAAAUACUAGAAAGUAAGGAAUAUACCAGAAUUCCCGAAUGCGAGAAAAAGGGAGCGCGGGGAAGGUAGUCGCACAACGAUCAAGUUGCCGGUCUCUUGUGUCGGAAUGUUAAGACGAGACAGACGUGUCUCCCGCAGUAAUUUUUCGUGUAAUCCGAAGUAACACACCACGGUCGCGCGACAGCACGCUGAAAGUGAAUAAGUGGGCUGAUCAGUGAUCCGAGUGCAUGCGACUUGCGCGUGGACAUCAUUCCCGACCGGUCGAUAGUAUCACCAUCCUUGUCCUUUCAAUCUGCCUCCGCCCGACAAAUUCAACCCGGCUUGGCCUCGCCCGAAGGUCCAGCCCGGUGGAUUCUUGGCCUCCGACGCGCGGAAAAUGGCUCGUACGCCCCAAUCACAGAAGUGAUCAGUGACAUCACCGUUUCCACUUUUGCGAAAUAGUUUUCCGGCUUGGCCUCGCCCGAAGGUCCAGCUCGGUGGAUUUUUGGCCUCCGAUACGCGGAAAACGACUUGAGCGCCCAAAUCGCGGAAGUGACCAGUGAUAUCACCCAGCGUUCCCACUCUCGUGAAAUCGUUUGCCCGGCUUGGCCUCGUCCGAAGGUCCAGGCCGGUGGAUUUUUGGUCUCCGACACGCGGAAAACGACUUGUGCGCCCUAAUCACGGACAUCGACUCAGUGUGAUCGAAUGCUUUUAAAAGCAUGCAAAAUAAUUUCGGAGUGCAGAACAGCUCUAAAGUCAAAAGCUGUUACUGGAAUGAGGAUGAUGGGUGUGCUCUGUGGAAAUCGGAGUUUCACAUUUGUCAAAAAUCCCAACCGUUUCCAAUGGAUGGACUGUGUGGAAAUAGGGGAUACAACCCAAUAGGUGUACAAUAGUAUGACAUUUAAGAAAUACUGUGUUUUGCUUUCAUGAAUAAAUAUAUAACAAGACAGCCA